rnacentral:rRNA from 1 species
UACGUAGGGGGCAAGCGUUGUCCGGAAUCAUUGGGCGUAAAGAGCGCGUAGGCGGCCCUGUAAGUCCGCUGUGAAAGUCAAGGGCUCAACCCUUGGAUGCCGGCCGAUACUGUCAGGCUAGAGUCCGGAAGAGGCGAGUGGAAUUCCGGGUGUAGUGGUGAAAUGCGUAGAGAUCCGGAGGAACCCCAGAGGCGAAGGCGGCGUCCUGGCUCGCAUCUGACGCUCAGACACGACAGCAUGGGGAGCGAACGGG